rnacentral:rRNA from 1 species
UGAAGAACGCAGCGAAAUGCGAUAAGUAAUGUGAAUUGCAGAAUUCAGUGAAUCAUCGAAUCUUUGAACGCACAUUGCGCCCGCCAGUAUUCUGGCGGGCAUGCCUGUCUGAGCGUCAUUUCAACCCUCAGCCCCCGUUCGCGGGGCGCUGGCGUUG